GUGACAGUGAAGAGAAUUUAACUUUUAGCGUUCAUUUCCUACAAUUCUACUAUAGACUGUAGGCACAUUAGUGCAGUUUUUAAGAUGACUGAUCAAUGGGCCCUGGUCGGUAAUUCGACUACUGUGAUUGGUAAGUUAGUCGAUCGGUUAACUUAUCAAUAACACAGUAAAACGCUGACAGGCCAAUGAGGUGAGUUCUCUCCCCAGUACAGGGAUGUGGGUCCGCGGGUCUACAGGAGGUGGGCCAGUGGAAGCCUGUUGCUCAUCCCUGUCUUACUCUGUCCAUGUGAAGGGACAACAUAAAACAAGGAUACUGUUAUACAGACAAAGGAAACGCAUAAAACACUUGAUUAUCUGUAGACAGGUGUGACUAGUAUUAUGGUCUGUAGACAGGUGUGACUAGUAUUAUGGGCUGUAGACAGGUGUGACUAGUAUUAUGGUCUGUAGACAGGUGUGACUAGUAUUAUGGGCUGUAGACAGGUGUGACUAGUAUUAUGGUCUGUAGACAGGUGUGACUAGUAUUAUGGUCUGUAGACAGGUGUGACUAGUAUUAUGGGCUGUAGACAGGUGUGACUAGUAUUAUGGGCUGUAGACAGGUGUGACUAGUAUUAUGGGCUGUAGACAGGUGUGACUAGUAUUAUGGGCUGUAGACAGGUGUGACUAGUAUUAUGGGCUGUAGACAGGUGUGACUAGUAUUAUGGGCUGUAGACAGGUGUGACUAGUAUUAUGGGCUGUAGACAGGUGUGACUAGUAUUAUGGGCUGUAGACAGGUGUGACUAGUAUUAUGGGCUGUAGACAGGUGUGACUAGUAUUAUGGGCUGUAGACAGGUGUGACUAGUAUUAUGGGCUGUAGACAGGUGUGACUAGUAUUAUGGGCUGUAGACAGGUGUGACUAGUAUUAUGGGCUGUAGACAGGUGUGACUAGUAUUAUGGGCUGUAGACAGGUGUGACUAGUAUUAUGGGCUGUAGACAGGUGUGACUAGUAUUAUGGGCUGUAGACAGGUGUGACUAGUAUUAUGGGCUGUAGACAGGUGUGACUAGUAUUAUGGGCUGUAGACAGGUGUGACUAGUAUUAUGGGCUGUAGACAGGUGUGACUAGUAUUAUGGGCUGUAGACAGGUGUGACUAGUAUUAUGGGCUGUAGACAGGUGUGACUAGUAUUAUGGGCUGUAGACAGGUGUGACUGGUAUUAUGGGCUGUAGACAGGUGUGACUGGUAUUAUGGUCUGUAGACAGGUGUGACUAGUAUUAUGGGCUGUAGACAGGUGUGACUAGUAUUAUGGGCUGUAGACAGGUGUGACUAGUAUUAUGGGCUGUAGACAGGUGUGACUAGUAUUAUGGUCUGUAGACAGGUGUGACUAGUAUUAUGGGCUGUAGACAGGUGUGACUAGUAUUAUGGGCUGUAGACAGGUGUGACUAGUAUUAUGGGCUGUAGACAGGUGUGACUAGUAUUAUGGGCUGUAGACAGGUGUGACUAGUAUUAUGGGCUGUAGACAGGUGUGACUAGUAUUAUGGUCUGUAGACAGGUGUGACUAGUAUUAUGGGCUGUAGACAGGUGUGACUAGUAUUAUGGGCUGUAGACAGGUGUGACUAGUAUUAUGGGCUGUAGACAGGUGUGACUGGUAUUAUGGGCUGUAGACAGGUGUGACUGGUAUUAUGGGCUGUAGACAGGUGUGACUGGUAUUAUGGGCUGUAGACAGGUGUGACUGGUAUUAUGGGCUGUAGACAGGUGUGACUGGUAUUAUGGGCUGUAGACAGGUGUGACUGGUAUUAUGGGCUGUAGACAGGUGUGACUGGUAUUAUGGGCUGUAGACAGGUGUGACUGGUAUUAUGGUCUGUAGACAGGUGUGACUGGUAUUAUGGUCUGUAGACAGGUGUGACUAGUAUUAUGGUCUGUAGACAGGUGUGACUAGUAUUAUGGUCUGUAGACAGGUGUGACUAGUAUUAUGGGCUGUAGACAGGUGUGACUAGUAUUAUGGGCUGUAGACAGGUGUGACUAGUAUUAUGGGCUGUAGACAGGUGUGACUAGUAUUAUGGGCUGUAGACAGGUGUGACUAGUAUUAUGGGCUGUAGACAGGUGUGACUAGUAUUAUGGGCUGUAGACAGGUGUGACUAGUAUUAUGGGCUGUAGACAGGUGUGACUAGUAUUAUGGGCUGUAGACAGGUGUGACUAGUAUUAUGGGCUGUAGACAGGUGUGACUAGUAUUAUGGGCUGUAGACAGGUGUGACUAGUAUUAUGGGCUGUA